rnacentral:rRNA from 2 species
AGAGUUUGAUCAUGGCUCAGAUUGAACGCUGGCGGCAGGCCUAACACAUGCAAGUCGAACGGUAACAGGAAACAGCUUGCUGUUUCGCUGACGAGUGGCGGACGGGUGAGUAAUGUCUGGGAAACUGCCUGAUGGAGGGGGAUAACUACUGGAAACGGUAGCUAAUACCGCAUAACGUCGCAAGACCAAAGAGGGGGACCUUCGGGCCUCUUGCCAUCGGAUGUGCCCAGAUGGGAUUAGCUUGUUGGUGGGGUAACGGCUCACCAAGGCGACGAUCCCUAGCUGGUCUGAGAGGAUGACCAGCCACACUGGAACUGAGACACGGUCCAGACUCCUACGGGAGGCAGCAGUGGGGAAUAUUGCACAAUGGGCGCAAGCCUGAUGCAGCCAUGCCGCGUGUAUGAAGAAGGCCUUCGGGUUGUAAAGUACUUUCAGCGGGGAGGAAGGGAGUAAAGUUAAUACCUUUGCUCAUUGACGUUACCCGCAGAAGAAGCACCGGCUAACUCCGUGCCAGCAGCCGCGGUAAUACGGAGGGUGCAAGCGUUAAUCGGAAUUACUGGGCGUAAAGCGCACGCAGGCGGUUUGUUAAGUCAGAUGUGAAAUCCCCGGGCUCAACCUGGGAACUGCAUCUGAUACUGGCAAGCUUGAGUCUCGUAGAGGGGGGUAGAAUUCCAGGUGUAGCGGUGAAAUGCGUAGAGAUCUGGAGGAAUACCGGUGGCGAAGGCGGCCCCCUGGACGAAGACUGACGCUCAGGUGCGAAAGCGUGGGGAGCAAACAGGAUUAGAUACCCUGGUAGUCCACGCCGUAAACGAUGUCGACUUGGAGGUUGUGCCCUUGAGGCGUGGCUUCCGGAGCUAACGCGUUAAGUCGACCGCCUGGGGAGUACGGCCGCAAGGUUAAAACUCAAAUGAAUUGACGGGGGCCCGCACAAGCGGUGGAGCAUGUGGUUUAAUUCGAUGCAACGCGAAGAACCUUACCUGGUCUUGACAUCCACGGAAGUUUCCAGAGAUGGGUUGGUGCCUUCGGGAACUGUGAGACAGGUGCUGCAUGGCUGUCGUCAGCUCGUGUUGUGAAAUGUUGGGUUAAGUCCCGCAACGAGCGCAACCCUUAUCCUUUGUUGCCAGCGGUCCGGCCGGGAACUCAAAGGAGACUGCCAGUGAUAAACUGGAGGAAGGUGGGGAUGACGUCAAGUCAUCAUGGCCCUUACGACCAGGGCUACACACGUGCUACAAUGGCGCAUACAAAGAGAAGCGACCUCGCGAGAGCAAGCGGACCUCAUAAAGUGCGUCGUAGUCCGGAUUGGAGUCUGCAACUCGACUCCAUGAAGUCGGAAUCGCUAGUAAUCGUGGAUCAGAAUGCCACGGUGAAUACGUUCCCGGGCCUUGUACACACCGCCCGUCACACCAUGGGAGUGGGUUGCAAAAGAAGUAGGUAGCUUAACCUUCGGGAGGGCGCUUACCACUUUGUGAUUCAUGACUGGGGUGAAGUCGUAACAAGGUAACCGUAGGGGAACCUGCGGUUGGAUCACCU